rnacentral:rRNA from 1 species
UUUAACUGAAGAGUUUGAUCAUGGCUCAGAUUGAACGCUGGCGGCAGGCUUAACACAUGCAAGUCGAGCGGGGGAAGGUAGCUUGCUACUGGACCUAGCGGCGGACGGGUGAGUAAUGCUUAGGAAUCUGCCUAUUAGUGGGGGACAACAUCUCGAAAGGGAUGCUAAUACCGCAU